rnacentral:misc_RNA from 1 species
CAUUGGCCGACAUAUUUGAACGAGCAAAUUCGACCAAUGAGAACGUUUGAAAUAUCAUCGGCCUUCACGUCGGAUCUCACGGAUAUCUGCAUUUUUAUUUAGGUUAUAAUUCGAACGUAUUAUUAUAUUGGGAUAUCAUCUUAACCAUCAGUCACAUUUACGUCAUUUUAAUAAUAUUAUUAACGUAUUAUUUAAAGUAUAAAUAAGUAAAUAUUGUUAGGCCUGGCCGGAUUUAUUGUGAAUCGAAGAGAUACAACCAACUUCAGAGGCGUGUCAUGUUUGCAAGUAACGCGGCGUUAUUGUUCGUUGUAUUCUUGAAGGAUUAAUAGGUCUAAGUUUUAUAUAUAAAAAAUGCUUGCGUUAGGCCCAAAAAAGGAUGGAGGACCGAAUGCCAAAUUUUUUGAAUCUGCGGAAAUCCUCGCACAACUUGACGGUGUUAAACAAUGGCUUUUAAAAAAUUGUAAAAAGUAUGUACAAACAGAUCCUCCGACAAAUAAAAGUUUAGCAACAUUAGUCGUACAAUUGCUGCAGUUCCAAGAGGAUAAUUUAGGAAAAAAUGUAACCAAACCACCCAUGACAAGGGUACCGAUGAAAUGUUUCUUAGACUUUAAACCUGGAGGUGGUUUGUGUCAUAUACUUUCUACCGCUUAUCGAUUUAAGCAAGAACAAGGAUGGCGUAGGUUUGACUUUCCAGUUGGAAAGUCAGGCUCUCGUAUGGAUCGCAUAGUAGAAAUGUUAAUGGCAGCAGAGCGCGCUUUAACUCAGAAUAGAUGUUUGACUAUACCUAGCGUCUUUGUAAGAGCCGACGUCGAUAAACCAACGGCAACAAAAGUAAAAGAAGCAGUAAGACGACAUCAAGGCACAGUUGUUGAGAAUGAAGCAGAUGCUACACAUAUUAUUUUUCCAUCAGUAGAUCCAAUGGAAGAAGAAUGCGCUAGACCAUGUAUGAGACGUGAAAGAUCGGUUCUUCUUCAUUGGUAUUACUUCCCAGAUAGUUAUGACUCUUGGACUACUCUAGAUCUUCCUUGGGAAUUUCCUGAAGGAACUCUUAAUAUUACAAGUACAAGAUCAGUGUAUAAGGUUUCCGCGACGUGGGCGCUCGAUUUAGAUUUAUACAAUGAAUGGAUGAAUGAAGAAGAUUAUGAGGUAGAUGAUAGCGGACAAAAGAAAGUUCACAAAUAUAGACUUUUAGUAGAAGAUUUAAUGGCCCAACCUGCUCAUCCACCAUCAGGAAAAAAACCCAAAAGGAAAAGAUCCCCAAGUCCACUACCAAAACUUGGAAAACGCAAAAGUAGCAGGGCUCCAUCAAAUUUACAAAGCACUUCAUCGACUUCUUCGGCAGCUACUCCAAAGAAAUCCCGAGGUACUGGAGAUGAGGAAGAAGAUCUUACCCAAGGGAUGGAGGAUCCACCAGCUGAACCUCGCAUUGUCGAAGUUGUUGCCGCUCCUGCUAAUCCGCCAAUAACAGGCCAGAACAGUAAUGCGACGACAAGCAGUAGUUUGGCAUCAACUGGAAAUAAAAAACAGGAUAAUGAACUGCAACCUCUUAAAUCUGGGAAUAUGGCAGAUUUAGAUGAGCCGAUAGAAGCAGGCGACAAAGGUAGCUCUCAGGGAACUCAAGACAGAGAGGAAAGAGAUACGAGCAAAGAAAGAGGAGAAGGAGGUAAAGGAGACGAGCCAGAAGAUAAUGUUACAGAACAAACUCAUCAUAUAGUUGUACCAAGUUAUUCAGCCUGGUUCGACUACAAUUCAAUUCAUACUAUAGAGAAAAGAGCAUUAUCUGAAUUCUUCAAUGGGAAAAACAAAUCUAAAACACCUGAAAUUUAUCUUGCAUACAGGAAUUUUAUGAUAGAUACCUAUAGAUUAAAUCCUACAGAAUAUAUUACAUCAACAGCUUGCAGGCGUAAUUUAGCUGGAGAUGUUUGUGCAAUUAUGCGUGUUCAUGCUUUUCUGGAACAAUGGGGUUUAAUUAAUUAUCAAGUAGAUGCAGAAUCUAGACCUACACCUAUGGGUCCACCACCAACAUCUCAUUUUCAUGUAUUAUCGGAUACUCCAUCAGGUCUUGCACCGGUUAAUCCAAAUCCACCAAAAACACCGCAACCAUCUGCAGCAAAAACAUUGCUUGAUCUUGAGAAGAAAUCUACUGCUAUACUUGGAACAGAAGAAAAAGUUUCGGCUAAUGCUAUGUCAAACUUUGGUUUAAAAGUUGAUCAGUAUUCUAGGAAACCUGCAGUGUUAAAGAACAAACAAGCAGCUGGAGCAACACGUGACUGGACUGAACAAGAAACACUUUUAUUAUUGGAAGGCCUAGAACUUCAUAAAGAUGAUUGGAAUAAAGUCUGCGAACAUGUCGGUUCAAGAACACAAGAUGAAUGCAUAUUACAUUUCUUACGGUUACCUAUAGAAGACCCAUAUCUUGAGGAAGGUGGUCCAGAAGGCUUAGGACCUCUAGCGUAUCAACCAGUACCUUUUUCAAAGGCUGGAAAUCCAGUUAUGAGUACAGUAGCCUUUUUAGCUUCAGUCGUAGAUCCUAGAGUGGCAGCUAGUGCAGCUAAAGCUGCUAUGGAAGAAUUUGCUGCUAUUAAGGAUCAAGUACCAGCUGCGUUAUUGGAUCAGCAUUUACGAAAUGUUCAAGCUAGUGCUAACUCAGAUGGAAAAUUUGAUCCAGCUGCUGGACUUGCACAAUCAGGCAUUGCUGGUACGGGAUCACCUGAACCACCUGAUGAUACUACAACACCGUCAACUACUGGAACUCAAGCAUCAUCUGUAACUUCUCCUCAUUCGACAGGUCCAGCUUCUAUAGAAGCAAAGAAAGAAGAUCAAGAAAAAUCGAAGGAUGCAUCGGACGUUGAACAAUCACCAUUAGAGAUAACUCAGAAAGAAGAUAAUUCUAAAGAAAGCGAAGAUGAUACUAAAUCUUCCGUCGAUGCUGAAGCUAUUGAGGCAAAAGAAAAAAAGGAUAAGGUUGUGAGGGACGCCCAAUUACAAUCCGCAGCAGCGGCUGCAUUGGCUGCCGCUGCCGUUAAAGCGAAACAUUUAGCGGCUGUAGAAGAACGAAAAAUAAAAUCGUUAGUCGCGUUACUGGUCGAAACUCAGAUGAAAAAGCUAGAAAUAAAGUUACGUCAUUUUGAGGAAUUAGAAACAACGAUGGAACGCGAACGCGAGGGACUUGAAUAUCAAAGGCAGCAACUUAUUACUGAAAGACAACAAUUUCAUUUAGAACAACUAAGAGCGGCUGAAUUCAGAGCACGACAACAAGCACAUCAACGUUUAGCUCAAGAACAACAACAACAUACACCUCCGGAGCAAACAUAAAACUCUAUUGUUCUCGUAUCAUCCUUAUAAUCCCAGGAUCUUUAUUCGCCACCCUUGAAAACGGCACCACGACAGCUGUUAGGAACAUAGCAAGGAUGAACCCUUUGCCCUAUUGGGAAAAGAAUUGAAUAAAAUUUAUAAGGAAGCUAAAACAGCAUCGCACACACCACCCCAAAUACUAUGAUGGUGCAUAAAGGGGGAAAAAGAAGUACGCAGUAUGAUGAAGAACUGCAACGAGAAAGAGAAAGAUAGAAAGAAAGAAGGAAAGAAAGAGAGAGAGAAAGAGAUAGAAGAGCAUGGGUUCAGAACCGUGCCGUGAGAACAAGAUACGUUUUCUUCUAAACAUCGAGGGGUUACGUUGGAUAUUUCCUUACGUAUACAUGUUCGCUAGCUAUUAAGGUCAAGGUCACUCGAGGAUGAACGUGCAUGCAUUCCUUUUCAGGAAUCCUAUAUACAACACACACACUAGAUGGAAUUAAACUCGGAAGGAAGAUAACGGUCAUUUGAAAAGGAAGUUCAAAUGGAAUACAUCAUUUAUCCUUAAUAAUGAACAACUUCGCGUGACUCUGGAAUGAAAGGGAGUUACACACUAGGAAUUCUUGGAAUUUGGAUGGUAUAACUAAAGGAGGGGAUCUAUGAAACAAUUUGCCUGGCCUCUUGUAAGCUCUGUUAGAAUCUUCGACAACCACAACCACGAUGAUGACGACAACGACGACGAGGACGAUGGAAUACACCACCACCCAAGAGAGCCCUAAUUUCGUAGAACAACGACGAUGCCUUCAGAAGAUGCCUCGAAGAAAAUUUAAGAGAAGAUGAAGCACGUAUUCUACAAUAUUCUGGUAACUUGGAGAAAUCCCGACUGAAGAUGAAGAAGAUCUUGGAAGCUGAUGGUGAUCUUGCUGAUGAUGAAAAAGAAGCAAAGAUGAAGAAGACGAUGCUUCACGUAGGAAGUUUUCGAGCAAACUGCUGCUCGUGGCCAGGUGUUCCUCCUCUUUAUUCCUUUUGGCUGCCAUAACAAACUUGGUUGCUUUCAAGGACUAUUCAUCCGGUCGUUUCUUUCCUUCACCUGGGACAGCUGGAACUCAGGACAACCACGUGCUCUCGACUUCAACGAGCAAUCCCAGCAUAGCAGGUUGCAACAGUUUAUCGUAGCAUUAUCGAAUCGUUGAUUAAGAGGAAUCAACAUAAAUUCAUUCAAGAAAAUUAUACACACCUAUAACUUAAUACGUUCUACUACAAAUGAUAUUUACUCGCUACCAUCGAUUAUAAUUAAUCGAAGAAUUUCUAAAGACUGCACAGUUUCAUAACAAAGUUUAAACGUUUACUCGAGCAAACUAAUUUUCAAUUUGAUUUUGCAAAUGGUCAAAAUUUUAUAAAACUCAUUAAAUAAUUCAUUUUAAUCGAAUUUUAUUGUAAUCGAUGAUCGUUCAUCUCAACGUUCCUUCUUAAUCUAAUCGUUACAGUUUAUUGUGCAAUCGAUGAUAACAUGUUCACACGGAACUGUACAUAUGUAUUUAAAUGAAUCAGUGAUUAUGCAAGUGGUCUUUCGUUUAAAGAUAUAUACAUAUAUAUAUAUAUAUUUUGACAUUUUGAAGGGGUUUAAAUUAUUUUACAAAUAAUAUUUUAUUUUAUAACAACAUACAGAACAAGUAAAUAUAAUUUAAUAUCAUAGAAAAAUAAAAAUAACACAGUGUAUCAAAUUAGACUAUUGAGGAUUAUGCGAGAUGAAUGUACGUCAACUAUCGAUUGUUUAGUUGUUUCCUUCUGGAAAAAGAAAAUUUUUGAAAAUCCAAUAACAACGUGAAUCCCUGGGUUGAUUCGUUACAUCUCCGAGCUCUCAGAUUGUACACAAUGCAUACAUACAUAUAAAUUUGUACAUAUGUAUGUAUGUAUAUGUAUCUAACAGUAAGGAACAAAGAGAAAUCCGAUAGGAGAAAAAGAGCAAGGGCAGCGCCGAGUAGAGUUUAUCGGGUAGCAGAAUGUGUAUUACUACUGCGUUUUCCUUUGUCACACGCGGAAGCGUGCCUGCGCGCGCGCGCGCGCGAACGCUCAUGCUCGUUCGUAUCAGAGUCCGAUUAGGGGGAGAAAGAAAAUGAAGAAAAGGGAUGAUUGAGAACCACUUGUAGGAGGACAGCUGCACUCUGAGCGCAUCUGCUGUUGGUUGCGCGGGCACGCGCUUAUAUAUAUAUGUACAUAAGUAUAUGUAUAUAUAUAUAUAUACUUUUGUACAUAUAUGUCGACACUGAAAAAGAAAGAGAGAGAGAGAGAGAGAGAACCAACAACAUAUACUCAAAUUCAUCCACACAUAUAGAAAAAGGAUAUGUGCGCAGAAGCAUACUCUUCUCAUCGUUCCUUAUUUCCACUGUUGUUCCUUUCCUGUCUCUACUUUUCAUUAUCCAUCUCACUCAUUCCAUUUGAUCCCCGUUUGAUCUCUCCUUUUCCACCAUUUGCUUCUCUCCCUUUACUUACCUCUCAACCCCCUGCAUCCCUCUUUCCCUUUUUCUCUAUCGCUGCACAACACCGGCCGUUUACCGAAACCCAACAGUUGUCCCUGAAUUUAUUUUCCAGAUUGUACGCGCGUGUCCUAUUCGUUUCGUUUAAUUUUAUUUCAUUUCAUUCCGUUCCAUUCUUGCAAGAAGUUGACCUUCUUUUUAUUAUUCCUCUCUCUCUCUUGUAAUAUUUCUCACCCUUAACGGAGGAACUUCAAAUUUUAGUAUAACGACCAUCGAGUGUCAAGGUGAACAGUAGAUGUCCACUCACACUUUUAAAUGUUUAUAUACUAUGCAUUGGGUUUUAUGAAAUGUUCGUGUCGAUUUUCAAAAAAUAUUUAGAAACAACGCUUUUAUAUUUGAAUAACUCAACUAAACUUAACAAUAUGUUUUGGAAGAAUUUGAGUAACAAUUAUAGAUGUAUAUAUAUAUAUGUAUAUAUAAUUUGUAAAAUAAUCAAGUUGUCACGAACUUUCCUUGCAAUCUUGACAGAGAAUCUUGAUAGAAGAAACGUAUUUGAUUCUACGAACACGCACUCGCAUUUAUUAACAUAUUUGUAUUAGAUUUCAUGAGAAGUUAGUAUCAACUUUCAAAAAAAUAUUCAAAGAUAACACUUAUACUUAUAUUUUCAAUUGGCUAUAUAAUUUGGAAAACAAUUCAAUACACAUGCGCAUCUAUUUAUAUUGAUAGAAUAAGCGUAUUUAAUUGUGGUACAUGUAAAGGCUAUUGAUUUUUAUAUUAUAAACGAAUAUUUAAGUCUUCGUUGAAUUUCGAAUAUAUUUUGCAAGUAUACCAGCUAACUUUUCUACGAACAGCGUUAAAUCUUGUUGUGUAUGUGCGUAUAUAUGUAUUUAUGUAGAAGCGAGCAGGUCAUUGUCGAUGGUGCGUCGUAGCAAAGCGUUGCAGCUUGCCCCGAACAGGCCGGUUUAUGUAUGUAUGUAUGUAUGUAUAUAUGUACCAUGUAGACCGACACCCCAAGGAGAACAUUUUUCUUUGUUCGCCAUCGUCAGUCUGUAGGGAUUUUCACGAACCAUGAACA